UACUCCAGCCUGGGCAACGGAGUGAGACUCUGUCUCAAAAAAGAAGAAGAAGAAAAAAAAGAAUAAAUAUUUGGAGAUGGAAUUGUUAGGUCAUAGGGUGGAUGUAUGCUGUACCUCACUUUAAAAAUAUAUUUGUAUUGUUAAAGCCUGAUUUGAAAAUUUAGGAGGGAAAGUCACCCACAAUCCUGUUUCCCUAAUGCAGAGCCCCUGACUAACAGAGCCCUUGGCCACUGAGCCCUUUUCACAUAGUGAUCAUGAUGCCCUUACCUUUUUCAUAUAGUGAAUGUUGUCAUGCUAUGGAGAAUGCUUACAGCAAGAGCUGUGGUAGGUAUAUAUGGGAGGCAAAUUGAGCCAAUAAGCAAAGUUGCUAUUUAUAUACCCUUUUAUAUUACUCUGUAUGAUGUAAUUUUGAAUAAAUGAACAUGUUAGAAAGGAAAAGGUGAUAAGUAAAUUUAUUUUUCCUAGUGUAAAAGUAAUGUUUUCAGUUAAGAAAUAAAAAAAUAAGUAUGAAAAAGAACAAAGACCUUCCAUAAUACUAACUGUAGAUAACUAAACUAUAGACCUUAUUUGAAUUUCACCAAUUUUUCCUGUAUUGUUCUUUUUCUACUCCAGAAUCCAAUCUCACAUUUCAUUUAUUUGUUCUCUUCUUAGUCUCCCUCUAUCUGUGACAAUUCCUACUUUCCUGGCUUUCAUGACCUUGACACUUUUGAUGAGUACUGGCUAAUUGUCUUUAGGAUGUCUUUUAAUAUGGGUUUGUCUAAUUUUUUUUUUCAUGAUUAGGUUGACAUUAUCCAUUUUUUAAAUCACUGAAGUGAUGUUUCUGAUUGUGUCCUUCUCAAUAUAUCAUAUGGGGGUGGCAUGAUGUUGAGAUCAUUUAUUACUGGUCAUGUUAACCUUGAUCAUUUUGUUAAGGUGGUGUCUGCCAGGUUUCCACCUUCAAAAUUGACUGUUUUUUUGUUUUUUUUUUUUUUUUUAAAUUCAUGAAUAUUUUGGGUUAGAUAUUUUGAGACUAUGCUACUAUGUCUCCUCAAACUUGCACCCAAUGAUUUUAGCAUCUACUGGUUCAUCUUGCCUGUAAUAGUUAUUGUAUUGGUAUUUAUUCUAUAGUGACUUUAUACUUCCUUCACCUAACUUAUUGGUUGAAAUUAUUCUGUGUGAACCAGCUGUUCCGUCUUUCUCAUUAGUUCUUUAUUCAAUCAUUUAAUAGUAUGGACUCAUGGAUGUUUAUUCUAUAGGUUAUAAUUCAAUACUAUAAUUAUUUUGUUGCUCAAAUUGUUCAGCUUUGGUUAUUGAAAGCCCGUUUAGGUCAGCUCUUGUGUGACUUUGAUAUGCCUUCACCAUCUUUUGGGCAAUUUAUUUUCUGGCCCCACAAGAUGUUCCAGGCUUAUCUGGAAUGAACCACUUCUCCAAAGAGCCCUAGGUCUUGGGCCCUAGGUUUCUGUCAGAGAAGUGGUUGAUUCCAGGGUGUCCUUGCAUCUAGGUCCUCUCAGCCAAUAGAGCCAGAAAUACCUGUAUGAAUCCUAACCCAUACACACACACACAGCCCUAUAAUUCUGUGUUUUUUUGCCUUUAUUUGUAUGUGGAAAAUCACGAGUUCAUACUGAUAUCUCUGACACCAUUCCAACUCUGUAAGUUUCAUUCUUGUUUCCCUUUUUCCUUUUUUGUAACUGCUUUCUCCAGCAGUGAGAAACCUGGCUCUCAUUAGUUUCAAUAAACUCAUUUACUUGUUCAGUCCUAGUGUACCCAUAAAAUAGUCGCAGGAUUCUUAACCCAUACCCCUGUGAGAAAGAUAUUUACUGACUAGCGUACAGUACUUGCGUAUAGUUCUUUUUGUUUUUAGCCUUACCGUAUCUAGUCAAAACACUGUUCUCCAAAGCUAGGUUAGCUACUGUAUUUUCUUCCUCAGCCCCUUUAGUGUGGUUUCCUCAUUCAUUUGUAAUACAGCUAUGCUUAUUUAUUAGUGCUUGUAUUUCAUUUUGGAUUCUGCACACAUGUUGAUUGAUUUUGAUUAUUUAUUGGGAGAAUGUGAAAUAUUACUGAUUUUAAGAGUGAAAACUGUUACACAAAAAGGCAUUCUACUUGGUUUAACAAGUCCAAAAGAGAAUUCCUGAUUUUCUUCCCCAAACCUGCUUUUUCACCUAACCUUCUUUAUCUCAGUAAGUAACACCGUCCCAAAGCAACAGGCAGCCCAUUAAUAAGUUGUUUGUUCUAUUCCAAAGUGCAUUCAAAGUAGGAUUGCUUGUUGCCGUCUCAGCUGCUACAGCUCAGCUCUAGGGUAGUCUGUGAUUUUCUGGGCUAGACUGCUGUAGCAGCCUCCUUAACUGGUUUCUCCCUAUCUGUCCUUUCUUCGCACAAUAGUCAGAGUGAUCUUUUAAACAUGUAAAUCAGGUUGCCCCAUGGGCUUGGUUUGUGAGAAAGGGCCUGGUCCAGUCUGUCAGGACUACGGAGGCUUGUUUCUUGCCAUCCUUUCCACCUUGGGUUUACAGAGGCUUGUUUCUUGCCAUCCUUUCCACCUUGGGUUUACGCACUUCUCACCUCCAUCUGGCUGGGUGUGGGGAAGACCUGCCAGAGCCACAGAAGACAAGGUCGUUCCCAUUGCCAACUAAAUGGACAAGAUGGUGCAGAAGAAUACAGCUGAUGCAUUGGAUUUGCCAAAGGAGCUUAAAAGUAUUCCCAUGACCUUGGAAUUAUUACAGCCCAGAGAAGAAUCAGAAUAUCAGUUAAUGCUAAUGGCAAGCAGCAUAAAGAGGAAGAAGUUAUAUCUUCAACAGUCUGUCAUGAAAUCUGGGAAAAAGUUACUAUCAACCAAGAAAGACCCUGAAGAAAAGAAAAAAGAACCUGUAGUAACAUUGCAGAAUAGCCCUGAAGCGAGAGAAGAAAGUAGCUCCGGUGGCAAUGCAAGCAGCAGAAAGGGUGAGACAAAUGCUCUAGAUACUCGUGUUUCAUCCUUUAUUCAGGAAUGAAGCACUUCUGACCCUGCUUGGUUAAAGUGUUGGGAGGUGCUUGCUGCAGCUCUCGGAACAGGAGAUGGCUACACUGCUAUUGGAACUGGUGAGGAAGAAUUAGGAUCUCAAAUUGAGGAGACUGCAUAUCAAGAAAUUAAGGAAUAUAGAUACAAAAUGCAAAGGUGGAGUAUGAAGUAGGAUAUCAAAUCUUAAAGAGCAAAGAAUCCAAAUUUAAGGGAAAAUGUACCAUGUGAGAAUAUUCCUAAUGUCUUAUUUGCUAGAAUGAUGGCACAGGAAAUGUCCAGUGAUGGGCUCAGAGAGAUAUGGAAAAACUUGACCAAAGAAGCCAUCAGAGAGCAUUAGGUGACCAAGGCAAGUGGAACCCAGAGUGGCUUGUUCACAUAUACAGAUAUAGUGCUGAUGGACUGAUAACAUUUGUUGUCUGUAAUGAAUGUGGACGUCAGUGGAAGUUCUGUUGAGCUGGAAUAACUACCAAAAUAUCUGGACUAUUUAGAAAUUAGAUUUUGUAUGUUCAUUGCAGCACUAUUCACAGUAGCAAAGACUUGGAAUCAACCAUGAUUGAUGCCCAUCAGUGGUAGACUGGAUGAUGAAAAUGUGGUACAUA